GCUAAUAUGGUGUAUAGAGCACGUAGGGUUUUCAUUCCUAAGGAGAGGUGAGUCCUCUAUAAGUU
rnacentral:tRNA from 1 species